rnacentral:lncRNA from 1 species
UUUAAAAAAAAAAAAGACCUUUCACUUUUUGGAAAAUGGUCGUCAAAUCAUGUGCUUCCCUUUUCUAGAUGAGCUGUCAUCUUAUUAAAUUGGAAGGAGAAGGGCGUGAAGGCAGAGAGUGGCCGUGGAUGUAUUUUCAAGACGACUAUGGAGACAAGCAGCUCCCAUUCAGCAGGAUGGUCUUUGUGUCUGGCUGACCUAUGGACACAAUGUGUCUCUUGCAUUUCCCGACCCGAGGUGUUAAACCAGCGCAGCUCGGUGCUAUGGCAUGUGGUCUUACUGGUCCUCCCCUGGCUCUUUUGGGGCCUGCAGCCUGUGCUGCAGAAGCUGGUUUUGUGCGUUUGCUGGAGUAGCAGUUAGUGAGCAGCAGUGUCCUGAGCAGCCUGAUACAUUCCAGCUCCCGGAGGGUGAAGGGCCCCAACUCGCUGCGGCAGCGCCAUCCCUUCCUCUGAGCCUUGUCAGCGCUGAACUUGGAUGGGAGGAGGCUUAGUGACCUGUCCCCAGAUCAGCCUUGAACACUCAAAGAAAAAUCUGCCUGCUCUGAAUAUUGCCUGAGGAUUUAGAAAGGUCUUUCUUGGAAACAGAAGAAUGAGAUGAAACAAUCAUCUGUAAAGCAUGGUAAGAGAGAAAAAGAAUAAAGGAAUGAGUUAUGUUUGGCUUGUCUUCA